rnacentral:rRNA from 1 species
AGCUCCAAUAACAUAUAUUAAAGUUGUUGCAGUUAAAAAGCUUGUAGUUGGAUUUCUGGUGCAGGUCAGCCCUCACAGGUUGUACUAUUGUUGCAUCCUGCCGUUUUGGAGGGAAUGGCCUCGUUAUUAAGUUAGUGUGGUUGGGAACUCUGUUGUUUACUAUGAAAAGAAACUCUGUUGUUUACUGUGAAAAAAUUAGAGUGUUCAAAGCAGGCCUUUGCUGUGAAUACAUUAGCAUGGAAUAAUAAGAUAGGACUGUAGUGCUAUUUUGUUGGUUUGUGUACUAUGGUAAUGAUUAAUAGGGAUAGUUGGGGGUAUUCAUAUUCAAUUGUCAGAGGUGAAAUUCUUGGAUUUAUGGAAGAUGAACUACUGCAAAAGCAUUUACCAAGGAUGUUUUCA